rnacentral:rRNA from 1 species
UACGGAGGGUGCAAGCAUUAAUCGGAUUUAUUGGGCAUAAAGGGCGCGUAGGCGGACCAGCAAGUCAGAUGUGAAAUCCCGGGGCUCAACCCCGGAACAGCAUUUGAAACUCCUGGUCUAGAGGGUAGGCGGGGAAAACGGAAUUCCACAAGUAGCGGUGAAAUGCGUAGAUAUGUGGAAGAACAUCGGUGGCGAAGGCGGUUUUCUAGCUUAUUCCUGACGCUGAGGCGCGAAAGCAAGGGGAUCAAACAGG